GACGAACGCUGGCGGCGUGCUUAACACAUGCAAGUCGAACGGAAAGGCCCUGCUUUUGUGGGGUGCUCGAGUGGCGAACGGGUGAGUAACACGUGUGUAACCUGCCCUUGACUUUGGGAUAACUUCAGGAAACUGGGGCUAAUACCGGAUAGGAGCUCCUGCUGCAUGGUGGGGGUUGGAAAGUUUCGGCGGUUGGGGAUGGACUCGCGGCUUAUCAGCUUGUUGGUGGGGUAGUGGCUUACCAAGGCUUUGACGGGUAGCCGGCCUGAGAGGGUGACCGGCCACAUUGGGACUGAGAUGCGGCCCAGACUCCUACGGGAGGCAGCAGUGGGGAAUAUUGCACAAUGGGCGGAAGCCUGAUGCAGCAACGCCGCGUGCGGGAUGACGGCCUUCGGGUUGUAAACCGCUUUCGCCUGUGACGAAGCGUGAGUGACGGUAAUGGGUAAAGAAGCACCGGCUAACUACGUG
rnacentral:rRNA from 1 species